CCUACGGGAGGCAGCAGUGAGGAAUAUUGGUCAAUGGGCGUGAGCCUGAACCAGCCAAGUAGCGUGAAGGAUGACUGCCCUAUGGGUUGUAAACUUCUUUUAUAAAGGAAUAAAAUGAGGCACGUGUGCCGUUUUGUAGGUACUUCAUGAAUAAGGACCGGCUAAUUCCGUGCCAGCAGCCGCGGUAAUACGGAGGAUCCGGGCGUUAUCCGGAUUUAUUGGGUUUAAAGGGAGCGUAGAUGGGUUGUUAAGCCAGUUGUGAAAUUCUGCGGCUCAACCGUAAAAUUGUAAUUGAUACUGGCAGUCUUGAGUGCGUUUAAGGUAGGCGGAAUUCGUGGUGUAGCGGUGAAAUGCUUAGAUAUCACGAAGAACUCCGAUUGCGAAGGCAGCUUACUGAAGUGCUACUGACAUUGAAGCUCGAAGGUGUGGGUAUCGAACAGGAUUAGAUACCCCUGUAGUC
rnacentral:rRNA from 1 species